UUUGUAUUUUUAGUAGAGAUGGGAUUUCACCAUGUUAGCCAGGAUGGUCUCGAAAAAUGCAUUUGCUACACCCAACUUAUGGAACAUCACAGUUUAGCUUAGCCUGCCCUAAACAUACUCAGAACACUCACAUGGCUAACACGGUGAAACCCCAUCUCUACUAAAAAUACAAAAAAUUAGCCAGGCGUGGUGGUGGAUGCCUGUAGUCCGCUGGAAAAGGUGGGGAAGGAUCCUCCCUCAGAGCCUGUAGAGUGCACAUUCCUGCCAAUACCUUGAUUUGGGACUUCAGGUCUCCAGAACUGUGAGAGGAUGGAUUUUCGUUCCUUUAAGCCACCCCAUUUGUGGUAAUUUGUUAUGGCAGGCCUAAGACAUGAACACAUCUUUUCAGCCAGCUCUGCCAUGCACCAUGGCCAGCAGAGCUUGGUGCCUCCCCUUGGCAACUUCCCAGUACCACAGUUAGUUAAGUUAAUUUAAUUGCUUCUCGGCCUUUUGACUGAGACCAAGUGUAGUAAACGUUAAUUCACAUAGGGCAGGAAGCAUACGGUAAACAUUAAACACUCACUCUCCCCGCUCCCCCUUAUUUUCCAUCUCAUAGAAUGAUGUCACUUGGACAUCAUUGUCAAGUUCAUUUGUUUUAGGUGUGUACCUUAGGCAGGGAUUGUUCUUUCCAGUGCUCAGGAUGCUCAGAAACAAUAGAAAUAUUUAUAAAGAUUAUUAGAUUACUGGAACUAUCAGAUACAGAAUAUAAAGCUGUUUGAUAUGUUUACAUAAAUAAAUGAAAAAAAUUUUAAACAUAAUUAUAAUUCAUAACCACCAAAUGACAAUGCAUUUUUGAAAAACAACAAAAUAUAAUAAUUAAAAUUGAAAACUUAAUGGAGCUUUUGCUUUUUGGACAUAGCAAUAGCAAGCCAUUACUCCACCAUAACUUAGGAAGUAAGCACAUUGUAUAUAUUUUUUUCUUUGAAGACACUGGAGACCGAUGUAAGCAAUGACUUAGCUUAACUAAAAUUCUUAAGAAGGAAAAACAUUUCCUGAGUGAGCUGGCCUUAUUCUCUGAGGUCAUUUCUCAAACAUGAGAGCUGAGGACUGGGCCCUGCUAAAGGUACUGGCAUCUCUACUAGAGGAAAGAGAAUCCAACAGACAUUUUGACAGCCAUUGGGAUGGCAUGACGGAUUGGAAUCUAGAAAAACCCCCAAAUGCAUGGCCAGUUUGCCCUAUGGGGCAUUUGCUGAGUACUAGGGCAGCAUGGAAGGGUGGAAGGUGGGGCUAGGAAGGCGAGAAAGACAAGGUUAAACCUUUCAUAGUCUUUUUUUUUUUUUUUUUUUUUUGAGACAGGGUCUCACUCUGUCACCCAGGCUGGAGUGCUGUGGUGCAAUCACAACUCACUGCAGUCUCGACCUCCUGGGAUUAAGUGAUCCUCCAGGCUCAGCUUCCUGAGUAGCUGGGAUCACAGGCAUGCACCACUACGCCUGGUUAAUUUUUGUAUUUUUACAAGAGACAGGGUUUCACCAUAUUGCCCAGGCUGGCCUCUAACUUCUGGGCUCAAUCGGUUGGUCCACCUCAGCCUCCCAAAGUGCUGGGGUUACAGGUGUGAGCCACAGAGUCUGGCCCCUUUCAUAGUCUUGAUAUGCUUGGAAACAAAAUUCUGAGAAAGACAAGUCCACAAUAAACAUAUGGCAGGCCUCAUUCUGUAGACAUUUGAAACUACAGGGCACUGAAUCUAAUCAAGGUGGCUUCCUAGCCCUAGCCCAGUUCAAUUCCUAAUAAAGUGAUGAGUUCUCACCCUACUCAGCAGGGAAAGGACAAACUCUCUAUGGAGGAAAAUAUGACCAACUUCAGUCUUUAUGGUUCUUUAAAAAUAGAAUGUCUGCUGUACACUUAAAAAAAAUUAUGGAACAUGCAAGGA
rnacentral:lncRNA from 10 species